GAUGAACGCUAGCUACAGGCUUAACACAUGCAAGUCGAGGGACCGGCGCACGGGUGAGUAACACGUAUCCAACCUGCCCUUUACUCGGGGAUAGCCUUUCGAAAGAAAGAUUAAUACCCGAUGUAAAGGAUGGGGAUGCGUUCCAUUAGGUUGUUGGUGAGGUCCCUUCUCCCCAAGCCUUCGAUGGAUAGGGGUUCUGAGAGUAAGGUCCCCCCCAUUGGAACUGAGACACGGUCCAAACUCCUACGGGAAGCAGCAGUGAGGAAUAUUGGUCAAUGGGCGUUAGCCUGAACCAGCCAAGUAGCGUGAAGGAUUAAGGCUUAUGGGUCGUAAACUUCUUUUAUAUAAGAAUAUGUAUUAUAUGAAUAAGGAUCGGCUAAAGAAGUGCCAGCAGCCGCGGUAAUAC
rnacentral:rRNA from 1 species